rnacentral:rRNA from 1 species
GACGAACGCUGGCGGCGUGCUUAACACAUGCAAGUCGAACGGAAAGGCCCCUUUGGGGGUACUCGAGUGGCGAACGGGUGAGUAACACGUGAGUAACCUGCCCUUGACUUCGGGAUAACUUCAGGAAACUGGGGCUAAUACCGGAUAGGAAUCGUUGCUGCAUGGUGGGGGUUGGAAAGCUUCUGCGGUUUUGGAUGGAAUCGCGGCUUAUCAGCUUGGUGGUGGGGUAGUGGCUUACCAAGGCUUUGACGGGUAGCCGGCCUGAGAGGGCGACCGGCCACAUUGGGACUGAGAUGCGGCCCAGACUCCUACGGGAGGCAGCAGUGGGGAAGAUUGCACAAUGGGCGGAAGCCUGAUGCAGCAACGCCGCGUGGGGGAUGACGGCCUUCGUGUUGUAAACCGCUUUCAGCAGGGGCGAAGCUUGUGGUGACGGUACCUGCAGAAGAAGCACCGGCUAACUACGUG